GAAGAAGGGUUUCGGCUCGUAAAACUCUGUUGUUAAAGAAGAACAUAUCUGAGAGUAACUGUUCAGGUAUUGACGGUAUUUAACCAGAAAGCCACGGCUAACUACGUGCCAGCAGCCGCGGUAAUACGUAGGUGGCAAGCGUUGUCCGGAUUUAUUGGGCGUAAAGCGAGCGCAGGCGGUUUUUUAAGUCUGAUGUGAAAGCCUUCGGCUCAACCGAAGAAGUGCAUCGGAAACUGGGAAACUUGAGUGCAGAAGAGGACAGUGGAACUCCAUGUGUAGCGGUGAAAUGCGUAGAUAUAUGGAAGAACACCAGUGGCGAAGGCGGCUGUCUGGUCUGUAACUGACGCUGAGGCUCGAAAGUAUGGGUAGCAAACAGGAUUAGAUACCCUGGUAGUCCAUACCGUAAACGAUGAAUGCUAAGUGUUGGAGGGUUUCCGCCCUUCAGUGCUGCAGCUAACGCAUUAAGCAUUCCGCCUGGGGAGUACGGCCGCAAGGCUGAAACUCAAAGGAAUUGACGGGGGCCCGCACAAGCGGUGGAGCAUGUGGUUUAAUUCGAAGCUACGCGAAGAACCUUACCAGGUCUUGACAUACUAUGCAAAUCUAAGAGAUUAGACGUUCCCUUCGGGGACAUGGAUACAGGUGGUGCAUGGUUGUCGUCAGCUCGUGUCGUGAGAUGUUGGGUUAAGUCCCGCAACGAGCGCAACCCUUAUUAUCAGUUGCCAGCAUUAAGUUGGGCACUCUGGUGAGACUGCCGGUGACAAACCGGAGGAAGGUGGGGAUGACGUCAAAUCAUCAUGCCCCUUAUGACCUGGGCUACACACGUGCUACAAUGGAUGGUACAACGAGUUGCGAACUCGCGAGAGUAAGCUAAUCUCUUAAAGCCAUUCUCAGUUCGGAUUGUAGGCUGCAACUCGCCUACAUGAAGUCGGAAUCGCUAGUAAUCGCGGAUCAGCAUGCCGCGGUGAAUACGUUCCCGGGCCUUGUACACACCGCCCGUCACACCAUGAGAGUUUGUAACACCCAAAGUCGGUGGGGU
rnacentral:rRNA from 2 species